rnacentral:misc_RNA from 1 species
GUGGACGAGGAUUUUUGUCGUACACAAUCGCAUACAAGCAGCAGUGAAAAAUGAUGUCCACAAAGAUCAUUCAAGAACUAAAGGAGCUGCCCUUGAACACAGUCGAGGAUGCGCAGAAGUUUUUCUCCAUUGUUGCUGAUGUAAAAGAGCAAGGCAUCGCGCUUCCACCCAUCACCCAUAUGUUUUUUGCACGAGUUGACGCGGGCCUUCACUUCGAGCCGUACCACAUUCGCACAAUAUGUCGUGAUAACCGUCCGAUGAACUACUACGUUGUGACAAAGGAUCACGUGAUUCACGUCAAUCGGCGCGACGGGGAGUACAACGUAGUCGCGUCCUUGGAACAGUGGCUGCUAGAAGCAAAGUGCUUCAACAGAAUCUGUAAAUUUGCUUUUUUCAGAAAUUACAUUCUUCACAAAGCUCUCCUACGCCUCCUAGAGAGUGCGCGACGCACAAAACUUGAGAGAAUUCGUGCAGUUCUCUCAAAACGACUUCUAUUGGCAACACCGACGUUCCAAAAGGAUCUGAUUGCACUGAGGCGAAAAGCCUUUGAUUUUCAGUGGACUCCUGUCACGGAAGGCUUCCAAAAAGUUCUUUCCUUGCAAAUUAGCGGCGAUAAAGGCAAUGCUGCCGGGCUCUCAACCGACGAGUUUGCCGAAAUGCAGGAUGAUUACGGGAAAUCGCUCCAGCGGAAAUUUGCAUCUCUCCUGCUAGACAUUUUGAGUGUAGUUUCGGAGCGGGUGGAAAGCGUCACACAACUUGUCUCGACAAUGCGAGUGAUCGAAAAAUACCCGGGUGCUACGGGAUGCGUCAACAAAGACGUAACUGCAAAGGAGCUCCUCAAACGGCAAAGGGAGCAAAAGCGCCUGGUCGUAGAUUACGAAAAGCUUCCUUCUUAUAUUCGACUGGUGCAUCAUUUUCAGCUCGAAAGCACGUUUCAGCAGGCAUGCUCUACCUUUUUCGACCUGGAAGGCGCAGUUCGAAGACGAGCGGCAAUCUUGCGUUGGCGGUUUCGGGUGGAAUGCAUAGUCGAGGGCCGCAAGGAGCUUUCUCUGUUUCCUCCAAAAGAGCAUGUGACCAAAACGGCUGAAGCAGCGAUGAACAAGUGCAUCGAUUUGCUCUCCGGUUUACCGACGUGCGUCGGGUCUGAGGCUCUGAAGCCGUUUACGACUAUGAUGAAGACAGCAACUGUACGCAGCGCGCUGCUCGGCGAUGCCCUCAUCUCCAUCUACAAAAAAGAAGUCCUCCAGCUUAUUGAGGCGGACUACGAUGAGGCAAAAAGCAAGCUGUCGUCCUACGAGCCGCUUGUGGCCGUGUCGCAAUUUUUAGCCGAGUGGCAGGACGUUUCGAUGAACUGGGACAGCACUCUGUCCCGUGAAGAUUCGCUUUUGGUGUCCAUAACAGAGUCCGAAAUCCGUGGCUACGCAACAAGGGCUUACAAAGCACAAAGCGAAAUUAUGAAGCUGUCGAAUCGAACCUACGGAACAAUUGUCGUUGAAUGUGACAAGACACUGCAGAAGCUGGUUGCCCAGCUUAAAGGCGUCUUGGUCGACAUCGAAGCAGCCCUGGGGCAGCUUAUCAAGCUGAAUUUCCGUUACUUGAAGGCAGAAUGCGAUUCUUGGGUGGGAAAGCUCAGCCUUCCAGACAUAGCCCUCGGCCAAUUCAUCAAUUGGUAUUUAGGACUGCAAGAUUCGGGGUCCAUUUUCGACGAAUUCUCCAACAAUGUGGUGGAUAUACAAAAUCUACAUCGAUUGCUAUGUGAAUUGCGCGAAAAAUCCAACGCAGGCGUUAUUAGUGAUGAGGUGGAUUACUCGUCCGUCUUGCGUGUUCCGUUUCAGUGCGCAGUAACAGAGGCUCGAAAAUACUACCUUUCGAAUUCUAGCAGGAUCAAGGAAAUGCUGCUUGCCGAGCACACCCGCAUCAUCGCGUGUGCCACAAGCACGACAAAGCGACUGGCGAGUGAGUGCAGCAAUGAAAACGCAAACGAAAUUGGUGCGCCGGUUACGCAAAAGCUGGAGGAUGUUCGCGAUGAACUCGUGCAGGCAAAUAGCGAGGCAAAGCAGCUGGACAUGUAUGCACGAGUUUUAGAAAUGCCGACGUUCAACUGGUCGGAGAUCGCCGUGGCCGAGGAUGAACACCGAAAAUAUGUGGAGCUGUGGAACGUGCAUAAGGAAGUCACCGAUUUGCGACGCCGCCUUGAUACAAAGACUGUGGAAGAAAUUGACGGACAAGAGCUUAAGGACACGAUAGUUUCGUUGUUUCAGCGCGCAUUCAAGGCGCAAAAAAGUACCCCGGGCGGCACCGCCGAUUAUUUAGUAAAGUCACUUGCGGUUGAAAAGGCCAAUGUGCCCAUGUACGUUGAGUUGUGCAACCCGGCGUUGAAGGAAGCGCAUUGGUUACAGCUGUUUCAGAAUACGAGCAUACAACCCAUUCCCUCCGCAAAACGCACGCUGCGUUCCCUGGAGGCGGCCGGUCUCAUGGCAGACGAGCACUCAGCAGCUGUGCGUGAGGUUGUUUCCAGUGCCGUAGGCAUUUACGAGCUGGAGCAGCAGCUCAAGAAGCUGCAGAACUAUUGGGCAAAUCACUUGUUCGUGGUUGUUCCCUAUGGCGGGCGGUCAAACGCGUUCGUCGUGGACGCCGUUGAUGCAACGCUGGAGGAGCUCGAAGAGCAGCAAAUCGUGGUGCAGACGUGUCUUACCUCCAAGUACCUUGCCCCCGUCCUGACGGAGAUGAAGGAGUGGGAGGCUAAGCUUAGUUUGAUUCACUCCGUUCUCAUGGAGUGGGUUGGGGUGCAGAAGACAUGGAUGUAUUUGGAGUUCAUCUUCACGAGUGACGACAUUAAGCGCCAGCUCCCAGACGAGUCUCUUCUGUUCUCCUCCGCCGACCGCUUUUUCGGCUCACUGAUGAAGCGCUGCUCCGAAGACCCACAUAUGGCGCCGCUGUGCCUCGAAGGUAACGGCGACACCCUGAAGAAGCUGCAAAAGUGCACCUACCAGCUGGAGUGUAUUCAGAAGAAGAUUGAUGAAUACCUUGAGACGAAGCGUGUGGCAUUCCCGCGGUUUUACUUUCUCUCGAAUGACGAGUUGCUGUCAAUUUUGUCCGACUCUCGCAACCCGCUGGCAGUGCAGCCGCACUUGCAAAAGUGUUUUGACAACAUCAAGGCUCUGGUUUUCGCGGAUGAAAAGACGAUUGUGGCCAUGCGGAGCUCUGAGGGCGAGGAGGUGCCGUUCACGCAUCCCGUCAAAGUGAUAGGCAACGUGGAGAGCUGGCUGAACGAUGUCGAGCGCGCGAUGCGGGCGACGCUGUUUGAUUGCCUGGCCGCGUGCCUGCGUGGGUACACGACGGAACACCGAACAAAGUGGUUUUUUGAGCACCCGGCGCAGUGUGUGGCGACAGUUGACCAAAUCAUGUGGACCAGUGAGGUGGAGGAAGUCAUCACGGCGACCGGCAGCGGGGAUUCUUCUGCGUGGCCGUCGUAUCAGGACCGCUUUGGCGAGCAGCUUCUCCAGACGGUGGAGCUCGUGAAGCUUUCUCUCACGGCGUUGCAGCGCACCGUAGUAUCCAACCUUAUAGUGGUUGAUGUGCACUGCCGAGACGUUUGCGCGGACCUGGCAGCUGACUCCCCUAGCGCGGCGCUGCAUCCAUGCAGCUCAGUGCUCGAUUUCGGGUGGCAGAAGCAGCUGCGUUUCUACUACGGCCUACCGACUAGCGUGCAUGGGCCCGGCGGUGCUGCAGAGAUGGCCGACUGCUUUGUUCGGCACGGCGCGGCGGAGCUCCCCUACGGCUAUGAGUACCUUGGCAACCAACCGCGCCUCGUCAUCACUCCACUCACAGAGCGCGCCUUCUUGACAUGCACGGCGGCGUUACACAUGCAGAAGGGAGCUGCGCCGCAGGGCCCGGCCGGGACCGGCAAGACGGAGUCUGUCAAGGAUUUGGGCAAGGCUCUUGCUCGAACCGUUGUUGUGUUCAACUGCUCCGACGGUCUUGACUACCGCAUGAUGAGCCAAAUGUUCGCAGGGCUGGCGCAGGCCGGCGCGUGGGCGUGCUUUGACGAAUUCAACCGUAUCGAACUCGAAGUGCUCUCCGUGGUGGCUCAGCAGAUGCUCGACAUCACCACUGCCAUCACGCAGAGGCAGACCUUUAUGAAGUUCGAGGGCCAUCACAUCAAGCUGCACACCAACUUUGGCGUCUUCAUCACCAUGAACCCCGGCUACGCCGGGCGCACGGAGCUGCCCGACAACCUCAAGGCUCUCUUUCGACCCGUAUGCAUGAUGAUCCCGAACUACGCCCUCAUUGCCGAAAUUAUGUUCUACGCCGAAGGCUACGGCAAGGCUCAGUCACUCGCGGCCAAAAUGAUUCGUCUCUACUCGCUGGCGUCGCAGCAGCUGUCGAAGCAGGAUCACUACGACUUUGGCAUGCGCGCUGUCAAGAGCAUUCUCGUCCUCGCCGGGCGACUGAAGCGCGCUGACCCGGAUUCUGACGAAGAGCUGCUGCUCGUGCGUGCCAUUCGCGAGGCGAACCUGCCCAAAUUCCUCGUGGACGAUCGUCACCUCUUCAUGGCGCUGCUGCACGACUUCUUUCCUACCAUCGUGGAGGUGGCCCCGGCAUCGGUCAGUGAGGUUAUCCUCAGCGAGGCGAAACGCUUCUUGACAGAGGAGCUUGUGCACACGUCUCCGUCCAGCCCUGAGGCUCAGAUGCGGCUGCAGCCCACGAAGGGGCUGCUCUUCAAAACGCAGCAGCUGUUCGACACCCUCAUGACUCGUCAUGGAUUGAUGCUGGUGGGUCACACCAUGACGGGCAAGACCACGGUGCGCGACACUCUUGCGUCGGUGUUGACGCGCCUUGGGCGGGUGCUGGACAUGACCCCUGCCCCGGGAGCCGAGGGUGGUGAUAGCGGCAACGGCAACCCAGGUGCCAAAGGCGGGCUGGCCGCGACGCGGAGGCACACCCUUGCCGCUUCCAUGCGUGCACUCGAUGCGCGGUGUCAGUCGUACUUCACCGCCACCCACGCCACGGUCUGCAACCCAAAGGCCAUUUCGAUGACGGAGCUGUACGGCGACGUGAAUCCCCUCACCCGUGAGUGGCAGGACGGGGUCUUCUCUGCCAUGGUGCGCGAGCUGGUCAAGCAGAGCGCAGCGCAGCACGGGCGCGCGGCGACGCGGCACUGGGUCAUCUUCGAUGGACCGGUGGACGCCGUGUGGGUUGAGAACCUGAACACCGUGCUCGACGACAGCAAGAUGCUCUGCCUCGUGAAUGGGGAGCGUAUUCGCAUCCCUGACACCAUCUCGCUCCUUUUCGAGGUGCAGGAUUUGCGUGUCGCGUCACCUGCUACAGUGUCGCGCUGCGGCAUGGUCUACGUGGACGAGGAGUGCGUUGACGGUGGAUGGUCGCCGCUGCUGCAAAGUCUUUCCCAGGCAGCCGCUCAGGAGCUGAGGGCCCAAUGGCGCCACGACCGUUUCCUGCAGCUUUGCGGGUCUCUCGUACCACCCCUGCUGCAGGUCGUUCGAGAGGAGUGCAAGGAGUACAUCGGCACUUGCAACGCACAGCUGACGCUGAACCUCUUCUACUUGAUGAAGGCAGCUGUGCAGCACCUACAGGGCGUGAUGGAAGAGGAUCGGCAAGAGCAGCAAAAACAGCUGCACGAUGACGCGGCAGCGUUCGUGUUCGAUUCCGGUGCGUCGCGACAGUCAACCGACUCCACAUUACGGCGCUUUUCUCGCCGCCGCAGCUCGCGUGUCACACGCACUGCCGUCCUCGUGCGCGGAGACGCCGUCUUCGAUGCGCUGUUUUUGCAAAGCUGUGCCUGGGGCCUUGGCGGAAACCUGACGGAAACCACGCGCGCACGCUUCGCGGCAGCGAUGCUGCCGCUGGUCCGCAAAGGGGCGCUCAACUUCCCCGCGGACGCCGAGGCCGAGGGAUGUGGUGUGUUCGACUACGGCGUUGACUACGAGAUUGGUGACUGGCGGCGUUGGUCAGAGAUGGUACCGGAGUUCCACUACAACGCUAGCGUCUCCUACUUCGACCUCCUCGUGCCGACGGAGCAAACGGCCACGCUGCAGUAUCUCUUGCGCAGCGCCACAACCACUCAUCAUCACAUGCUGCUCAACGGCUUGACGGGCACCGGCAAGUCGUCCACAGUGAACAGCUACCUGCUGCAGACCUUGCACACCGAGGACGCCGCGAGCUCGACGGCGGCCUUCCGCUUCACGCUGUCCGCCCAGACAUCCGCGCAGGCGCUGCAGAACACAAUUGAGAUGAAGCUGACGCGGCGCAAGGGCGACCGCGAGUUUGGCGCUCCGUCCGGCAAGACCAUGAUGAUCGCCGUCAUCGACGACUGCAAUGUGCCGCAGCUGGAGGAGUACGGGGCGGCGCCGCCUGUGGAGUUGCUGCGGCAGAUGAUUACGCAGGGCGGCUUCUACGAUCGCAAGCGGCUCUUCUUCAAGGAGGUGGUACAGACGAUGCUGAUAGCCUGCUGUGGCGAGCCAGGCGGCGGCAAGAACGAGAUGACACCUCGCUUCACAUCGAAGCUGCUCUGCUUCUGCGCCCCACAGCUAACGGAAACGUCGAUGAGGUCCAUCUUCUCCGCCAUCUUGAAGGGCUUCUUCUACGCGCGCGGCUUUGCGACCGAGGUGGCCGCUCUGGCGGACGCCGUAGUCGACAGCACCCUGGAAGCGUAUCGCCGCAUCGCCGUGGAGUGUUUGCCCACCCCAGACAAGACACACUGCACUUUCAACUUGCGAGACGUCAGCAAGGUGUUUCAGGGCAUUCUACAGGUCAAGCCCGCUCACUGCGCAUCUCCUCAGGCCCUCAUCGACCUCUGGAGCCACGAGGCGUCUCGUGUCUUCCACGAUCGCCUGAUCGACGACACCGAUCGCGGCUGGUGGUGGCGCUGCUGUGCCGAGGUGAUCGAAAAGCACUUCUGCGGUGAUGUCACGGUCGCUAACGCAGACGCGGCCGACACAGACGGGACGCAGCCCGUGCCGUCUCCACUGCCCGCCCCAGAUCCUGUACAGCUCGGGACCAUCUUCUAUGGUGCCUGGGUCAACCGCGAUUACCAGCGCAUUGGCCAAGACACGUCGCUGCAGGUGGUGGCGCAGCAGCACUUGGCCGAGUACAACACGCAGAGCACCACACCCAUGAAUUUGGUCUUCUUCGACCAAGCGGUACAGCACUUGUCGCGCAUCUGCCGCAUUGUGAGCCAGCCGCGCGGCCAUGCGCUGCUCGUCGGCGUCGGCGGAAGCGGCCGCUCAUCGCUCUGCCGCCUCGCCGCCUUUAUGAUGAACAUGGACGUGCAAACGGUCCACAUAGCACGCAACUACGGCAUCGAGGAGUUCCGAGACGAGGUGCGGAAGGUGCUGCUAGAUAGCGGCGCACGGGGCAAGGAGGUGGUUUUUGUCAUCUCGGACUCGCAGCUGGUGCAUAGCGAGAUGCUGGAAGACAUCAACAACCUUCUUAACACCGGCGAGGUGCCGGGGAUGAUGGGGCUGGAGGACAUGGAGACGAUUGUGCGGUGCUGCCGCGAGGCGUCGCUCGCCUCCGGUCGCCCCGACACGCGCGCUAGUGUGUACGAGUACUUCGUUUCACAGAGUCGCGAGCGGUUCCACCUGUGCCUGUGCAUGUCCCCGAUGAGUGGCGUCUUCCGCGAUCGGUUGCGCAUGUUUCCUGCGCUGGUGAACUGCACUACGAUCGACUGGUUCUCGGAGUGGCCGCAGGAGGCCCUCCGCGCCGUGGCGAAGUCGACGCUCUCGAGUGCUGCUCGAGAUGGCGCCGCGGGGCCCGGCACGGACCAGCUGAGCGCUCUCAUGGUCUUCCUGCAGUCCACCGUCAAGGACGCGGCAGAGCGAUUAUACGCGCAGCAUCGGCGGCGCACCCACGUGACCCCGACCAGCUACUUGGCGGUGCUCACGCUCUACAACAAGAUGGGCCGGCGGCUGCGGCGCGAUCUGCAGGCCAGCGCCAACCGAUACCGCAACGGACUGAAGAAGCUCGACACGGCGAAGUCGACGAUUGCGCAGCUGCAGCAACAGAUCCGCGAGAUGCAGCCUGGACUGGCAGCUGCGGCGAAGCAGGUGGAGGAGCAGAAGCAGACACUGGCUGUGGAGCAGCUCGAGGCGAAUCAGAUGAAGGAGGCGCAGUCCAAGGAGGAGGCGACGGCGCUGCAACUCAUGAAUGAGGCGGAGUCGAUCCGCCGCGAAUGCGAGGAGGGGCUGCAGCAGGCGUUACCGGCCCUCGAGGCGGCCAAGCAGGCACUCGAGACGCUGAGCGCCAAGGACAUUCAAGAAAUCAAAACCUUCACGACGCCGCCGAGCAACGUGGAAAAGACGAUGAAUGCCGUGCUUGUGCUGCUGGGCGAGAAGGAUGGCUGGGCGAGCGCCAAGACAUGCCUCGGAAAGCUCGACUUCAUCUCUCGAUUGACAGGGUACCCACGCGACUCUAUCACCGCCGCGUGCAUUCGCAAACUCGCCGUAUUCGUGCAGGAUCCUGACUUCGUGCCGGACAUCAUCGAGAAGACGUCGCUGCCGUGCCGAUCCAUGUGCAUGUGGGUGCAUGCCAUGUACAAGUACUACUUCGUCGCCAAGGAGAUUGCGCCGAAGCGUGCGCGGCUGGCGGGGGCAGAGAAGAAGGUGGAGGUGGCACGCAAGGAGCUACAGGCGAAGCAGGUGGCUUUGCAGAAGGUGCUCAACCACAUUAGCGACCUACAGGCUGCGGCUGCUGCGGCGCAGGAGAAGGCUGAUCACUUCCAGCGACAGAUAGAAACCGCCAUGGCGCGACUCGUGCGCGCCGAUCAGCUCAUCUCCGGACUCGCCUCCGAGCGUGUACGCUGGAAGGAGGCGCUGGCGAAACUGGAGACGCAGCUGGGCUGCGUGGAGGGGACUGCGGCUCUGGCCGCCGGCUGCGUGGGCUACCUCGGCCCCUUUCCGCUGGACUACCGAGAGGUUCUGGUGGAGCAGUGGCGCUCGGAGUGCGCGGCGCUGCACAUCCCCUUCGACGCCACCUAUUCCCUCGAGGGCAUUGAGACGGAGGCGACGGUGCAGCAGUGGGCACUACAGUCCCUGCCGCGUGACACGUACUCCAUUCAGAACGCUACGAUCCUUUACAGGACGACGCAGUGCUGCUACAUGAUCGAUCCGCAGGGGCAGGCGAAUGCAUUUGUGCGAAAGCUGGAGCGCAGUCGCUCAAGCGGCGCUGCAGGCCUGCUGCAGCUGAAGCUGAACAGUCCGAACUUCAUGCGACAGAUAGAGAACGCCGUUCAGAAGGGACAGGCGGUGCUUCUGGAGGAUGUUGGCGAGACACUCGACGCAGCACUGGAUCCGAUUCUGCUGAAGCAAGUGCACCGUGUGGCUGGUCGCGAUGUCAUCACACUUGGCGACCGCGAGGUCACCUACGACGACCGAUUCCAUCUGUACAUUACGACGAAGCUCGCGAACCCCGUGCUGACGCCGGAGCUGCAGGUGAAGCUGACGGUGAUCGACUUCACGGUGACACGGGAGGGGUUGGAGGAGCAGCUGCUCGCCGACAUUGUCGGCUCAGAGCGGGCGUCGCUGCAGCAGCGCGGUGAUCGCUGCGUUAUUUCGAUCGCGGCGAAUCGCGAGGAGAUUGCAGCUCUCGAGGCGCAGGUCCUGCAGCAGCUGAGCGACGCCACCGGUGACGUCCUGGACAAUGCCGAGCUCAUCCAGGCGCUGCAGACCUCGAAGGUGACGUCCGAGAAGAUCGCCGUCGAGCUGGCCGCGGUGGAAGAAACGAACAAGACGAUCAAUGCCACCCGUGACGUGUACCGCCCGCUGGCGGUGCGCGGCUCUCUGCUGUACGGCGCGAUUACGCAGAUGUCCAAGGUGGACCCCAUGUACGACUACUCGCUGCCCUUCUUCAAGAACCUGGUCGUCUCCGUCUUGGCCAGCACACGGCGCCAGCGACCGCAAUUGCAGCAGCCGCAUCGCUCGUCCUCGAUCUCCGCCUCGUCCAUGAUGCUCGGCAACGGCAGCUUGAAUGGGAGAGGGGCGCAGAACUGCCACUUGAGCCUUGCGCCGACGGACAGCAACCAUGGCCUGCCUGGCGCGGACGCUGAGGAGGAAGAAGAGGCUGCUGCGGCGAUGUCUGAGGCCGAGGUGGAGGCGCGCGUCGUGAUGCUCGUGGAAGAGGUGACGUGGAUGAGCUACCGCGUUCUGUGCCGCGGCCUCUUCGGUCCCCACAAGCUGCUCUUCAGCUUCGUGCUAGCAACGACGUUGCUACGCAGCACGGGCCAGAUUACGAAGGAGGAGUGGGAAUUGUUUCUCUGCGGCGGGGCGGGACGGGCGCUGCUGCCGGCCUUUGCCGCCGCCGGCGGAGAGGGCAGUGACGGUGCGACGGUGCAGCGCCCUGGGUACAUGUCAAGUGGAACGUGGAUCGACUUUGGCGCCAUUUGCGGCCUUGAGGCUUUUGCUGAGGUUUGUGAGAGCUUCAUCGCAUCCUUGGCGGACGCUUCCGACUUCGGCGACGCGGAUCUUUCUGGUGACGGACCGCUGCCGUGGACGACGUGGUUUACCGAGACCUACGGUGCGGAGGUGCUGACUCGGCUGCCGGCGUCGUUGGCUCACCUGUCGUUGUGGCACCGCGUGAUGGCUGUGAAGAUCCUUCGGCCGAACAAGUUCCACUACAUGGCGGCUCAGCUCGUUGCGGACACGCUGGGGCAGCGCUACACCAUCGCUCCUCCCUUGGACCUCGAGGAGGCCUUCCUGGAAAGCACCAAGAUGACGCCGAUCAUCUUUAUUCUUUCACCCGGCGCAGACCCGACAUCGCUAUUCCUCAGCUUCGCAGAGGAGCACGGCUUUGCCGGGCGCAAACACAUGCUCUCUCUCGGGCAAGAUCAAGAUGUGCGUGCCACACAGAUGAUCCGGGAGGGGCAGCGCGAGGGCGCCUGGGUGUACCUGCAGAACUGCCAUGUGUACGCAUCAUGGAUGCCGCAGCUGCAGGUGCUCGUCGAGAGCAUGAACCCGAGCGAGAUACACGCCGACUUCCGACUCUGGUUGACGAGCAACCCAUCACCGAGCUUCCCUCCACUGGUGCUUCAGGCAGGCCUGAAGCUCACGCAGGAGCCGCCGAUGGGGCUACGGGGAAAGGUGCUGAGCACUUUGCGGAGUACCGUGGUGGCGGAUGUUUGGGCCGCCACCGCUUCUGCCGCGGACGUCGGGAACGCCGACUCCAACGACGCCUCCGUCUCUGCGUCGUCGCCAGCCGUCUUGCGAAGCGGGCAUCCCUCCAUCGAGUUGCAGCGACUUGUCUGGACACUCGCGUUCUACCACGGCACUGUGAUGGAGCGACGACGCUAUCGCCCGCUCGGGUGGAAUAACUCCUACGACUGGGGCAUGGCUGACUUCGAGGCAGGGCUGGCGACGCUGCAGACGGCUCUUGAUCGCUGCAAAGACGGCGGUGCAGGUCUGCCGACCGAGGAGUUGUGCUACAUGCUGGGCACGCUCGACUUCGGCGGACGCGUGACGGACGAGUGGGAUACGCUGUGUCUGCAGGUACUGACGCGCCGCUUCUUCGACGCAGACGCUCCAGGCACGACAUCGCAGAAAAAAUUACCGCAAGACACCAUCACGCCACCUCCGUUCCCCAAGGAUGGCGUUAGUUAUGCAGCACUGCUGCAACUCGCCGAGGCGACCUUCACCGCUGGCCGGGAAAGUCGAAAAGACGGCGAUGGGGAGGAUGAGAACGGGGAGAGUCCUGCGCGCUUCGGCUUGCAUGACAACGCUACUCUGUCGGUGGAGCAGCAGCUCUCAUUGGGACUUGUGGACGCGCUUGUUUUAAUGAACGCCAGCGGGGCCGUAACCGGCGCGACUAGCGCGCGGCGUCGGAGCGCCAGCGGAGACCACGGCGAGGACGACGCCAAGGCAAGCGGCGACGAGGUGAUGGAGAACCCUGUCGCUGCCGUGGCCCGCAAGUUGCUGGCGCAGCUGCCCCCUCUGCUGCCUCGCAAAGAGGCUGUGCUGGGCAGCAUGACCUCGCCCAACCACAGCACCACCACCACGACCGCGCUGACCGCGGUCGUGGACCCUGCGCCGUUGCAGACCUUGCUUUCCCACGAGACAGACCUGUACAACUGCCUUCUGUCCACAAUGCAGAGUUCGCUGGCAGAGCUGAUUCGCGCCCUCAAGGGUGAGGUGGUCGUGACGUCUCGGCUGGAGCUGAUGAUGCAGCGGCUGGCCUUCAACCAGGUACCGGAGGUGUGGGCACAGGUUGGCUACCUUACCCUCAAGCCGCUCGGCUCCUUCAUGGAGGAUCUCCUGCGUCGCGUACACUUCAUGCGGCGCUGGGGAGAGGCUGGGCCACCACCGAGCUUCUGGCUCUCCGGCGUCUUUUUUCCUCAAGGCUUUGUCACUGCGUUGUUGCAAGCGCGGAGCCGCGCGCUGCAGGUGCCCAUAGACUCCCUGCAGCUGCGCUUCCGCGCUCUGGCGCCGAGUGAGGCUGCCGAGGUGUCGGCUCUGACGGCUUCCUACGAAGCGGGUACCGGCAGCAAGGCGCCGACCAAGGCCGGCGCCUACGUGAGUGGCCUCUACCUCGAGGGCUGUGGCUGGGAUGCAGCACGUGGCGGGCUCGUGGAGGCCGCGCCCGGUGCCCUCACUGUGGAGCUGCCCAUUAUCCACUUCGAACCUGUCAUGGGGUUGGAGUCGGCCGCCAAGGGCCCCAGCGCGUCCGCAGCGGAAGCCGCUGCUGCAUACGUGUGCCCUCUCUACAAGGUGCGCACACGCGCCGGCACCUUGUCGACGACCGGCGUCUCCACCAACUACGUGACCAGCUUGACGUUGCCGUCGCUCGACGGCAUUCCAGGCGACCACUGGACAUUGCGCGGCGUGGCCGCUCUCUGCGCAUUGGAUGAUUAAGCGGCAAAAGGGGCGGCUUGCAUUCCAACCACAUAAGAGAACAGAAAUCGGGUUACGCGAAACUCUCUUACGCUAUUUGCUGGUGUGCUCCAUUCGCCGGCAGCUGCGGCGGGGCCUCAGUGGCGCUUGGCGUACGUCUUGUGUACCGUUGGAGUGGCCGAGCAUCUGUAGCGAACGGCGACAUUGGAGGUAGAGGGGGCGCGGCGGGACGUCUCUGCCUCUGUGUGUGUGUUUGCGUACGUGCCUCUCACAUGCGCCUGCACUCUUUGCCGUUGUCUUUUUAUAUCAUCUGCCGCAUUCUAGAUCGUUCGUGUAGCUGCUCGUUUUGGUGUCCUGCGUUGUCGCUGGCGGUUGCGUGUUGGGUGUGUCAACAUCGACUCCGUGGGCCGGUGGUGCCCUGUUGCGGUUCCCGUAGUGCUUCUCUUUUUACAACUUCCACCCCUGCCCCCUCCGGCGUUUUCUUUUUUUUGUUUCGUUGGUGCCUUGUAGUUGUUGGCCGUGGGACACACCGUUUCUGCUCCCCUUGCGGGUGUGGGACCUGGUGCCCCUCGUUGAUGGUGCCAGUGCGUCUUUGCCUGUCAGCCCCUUGUUAUGUAUCUUAAUAUGCGCCAAUGGCUCCUUGAAUAUGUAUUUUGUUGGGGCCGACACCGCGUUGUGUGUGAGAAACAGAGCCACCAGCACCCCCCUACUCUUCCCCUUUCACACCCCACGUGGACGCGCCCUCUCUCCCCCUCCCGUCGCUCUGCUUCCUUCCUUCCCUCUUUCUUUUUCUCUUGUGUGAUUCCCCUCUCCUUUUCGACAAGCGGAUCCGGCACGCCACUUUUACACCUCACCAUUUUCUUUGUCCGUCAAGUCUCUCUGAACCACCACCACCACCGCCGCCCCUCCUCCUCCUCGCCUUCUCCUCUCUUCUUGUUUGCCCUUACGUGACUACAUCGCCGCACACACGAGCAGCAGUAGCAGCAGCAGAAGGGACAGGAAGCUCUACAUCAACGCACAGCAACACACACACACACACACACACCCUGCGCGCGCGCUUGUGUGCACCUUUUCCGCUUCUCUCUCUCCCUCUUGCUCUUUGACAGCAGCGCGACUUCUCAUCCUCGAGUGAGUUCAUGUAAAAUAGCAUGCAUGCCUGCACACCAUGUAGUGGGCGCUCCACCACUUCCUUC